rnacentral:rRNA from 1 species
ACACGACUACAUUAGAUACCCGGGUAGUCCCAGCCCUAAACGAUGCGCGUUAGGUGUAUCGGUGACCACGAGUCACCGAGGUGCCGAAGGGAAACCGUGAAACGUGCCGCCUGGGAAGUACGGUCGCAAGGCUGAAACUUAAAGGAAUUGGCGGGGGAGCACUACAACGGGUGGAGCCUGCGGUUUAAUUGGACUCAACGCCGGGAAGCUCACCGGAUAAGACAGCGGAAUGAUUGCCGGGCUGAAGACCCUGCAUGACCAGCUG